UGGUGCCUCCUCCCCUAGACGGCCCCACCCACCUGCUCGCCGAGGUAGCCCCCCCGCCUCUGCCUCUCCACCCCAUAUCCCCGGCCGGCGACCCACUCUGUGCCUCCACCUCAUCCCUCAACCCCAGCGCCGCCGCCUCCGCCUCCAGGGUCCUCGACGCCGCGAUCUCCCUCGCGUGCUUCGACCAUCCGCAGGCGGCGCCGAUACGCUAUGCGUCGGGAGCUCCGCCCUCGCCGCGAGCUGGUGGUCCGCUCGUGUGCCCGUCCUCGUCGAGAAAUUGAAAUUGGGGGAUCGUGUUCUCUCCGAACUGGAUGCAGUUAUUAGGCCGCUUAGUUGUGCCAAUGCUGUCAGUGAUAAUCGAAAUUAAAUGUGGUGCGGUGGUAUUACCCGUUCAACUCUCUGCGGUUCAGUGUUUGCCUCAAAAUUCUGUUUGCCCCAUCAGUCUGUGAGCUAACAGUAUGCUAUUUUUCCUGCGUUACUGUUGAUGUUUUGUGAUGUUUCUUUCUUGUGCAGUGGGCAGUGGCGGGGCAUUCCUAUGAUCUGUUGCACGCUGUUGCGAAAACGGCGCUGUUAUCCCCUCGUUACCAGUGUGCCUCUUUCCUUUGCCAUAUUACAGAGGAAGAUGGAGAAACCAUUUAUGAAAAGGGUACAGUUGCUGUGGAUGUAAUGUAACGGCACAUCUAUCUUAUCAAGUGAUUCCCAGUGAUGGCUCAUACUCAAGCAGUUUUUGUCUGUGUGUGGCAGGGCCCUUUUGUGGCACCUUGAUCCAUCAAAUCUAAACCAUGACUUCAGUGAUGCUACGGGAAGUAAUUACAAGGACCUUGUUUUGUCUGACAAAAGAAUUACAUGAUCAGGUAGCAUGGUGUGUGGUUGGCAUUCUUAGUUUGCUCCCCACCUGCGUUCUUGGAGAUGCGAUCAUUAUUCCAGAUCUGUUUGCUUGCGACGGGUAUGGGUUCUGUGCUAGGACUUGUGCACGCAGGGUUAUCAUCAGUACAACAACAACAACAACAACAAAGCCUUUAAUCCCAAACAAGUUGGGGUAGGCUAGAGAAUCGGUAAAUCUUCAUGGAAAACAUACAAUCACGACCAUCAAAGGGGUCGGUCAUCUUCAAAUAUAGUUCUGCUUGGUCAAUGGUUACAAAUUUCCCUUUCUGGUUAAGUUUCGCUACUGCUUUACUUUCUCGUCAGGAAAGUUCACGAGGUUAUUUAUCAGAAAUAUUAUCUGAGAAAACUGCUGAAUCAGUAAGUGAUAACAGUCUUGCUCAGAGGGCAUGGAUUACCUUUUGUGGGUCUUAUGUCCUUCUAGUAUAGAUGAAUGCCACAUGCUAGCUAACAAUAUGGUGGAGGUAUCACAUUCUUGGGCCAGGAACAACAACGGACACCCAAGUUAUGCAUACCAUACUAGUACUGUAAAUCACAGGAGGAAAUCGCGAAUGCCCACAUUGAGGAUACGGAGAAACUUCAUGUUUCAACAAACAGUGCCUAUUCCCUUAUUACAGCAUUACGCAAACACUGGGCCCUUCGUGGCAUCUUGAUCCGUCAAUUCUAAAACAUGAUCUUUAAGUGAUACUAAUGGAAGCAAUUACAAGACCCUUGCUUUGUAUGGAAGGAAUUACAUGCUCAGGUAGCAUGGCGUGCAUUUUAAUACGCUUUGUUUGCUCUCCACACGCAUCUUCGAUAUACGAUCAUUAUUCCAUAUCCGGUUUCUUGCAACUUUGUUUCUCCAACCAUUUAUACACUUCAAAAUGAAAGUGCAUAAAUUACAGUUCAAAGGCGUCGUGAGCCGGAAACCAACAAAGUUAGAGUUUAUUCUAUAAAACUGGGUUGUGAGCAUGGACAGGUGAACUCUGCAAAGCUUGGAUACUUAUUUUCUUUUUCGAGGUAGGAUACCUAAUUAUUUGUGGUGAUGUGAAAACUGAAAAGAAAGAGGAGAGUUAAACAGUUUCUUUCUUGAUGAAGAAGUGAUAGUUUGGUAAUACCAGAAACUGGAAAUGAGUAGAAUCACCAUUAGAGGCUCAGUUGUUACUUAUGAUGGGAUUAGCUCCAAUAUGCAACCAUUAAUAGUCUUAGCAAUAAAGUAUCUAAACAAAGUACUCCAGCCGGCCAGCCCUAAUAAACCACAUGCUACUGUCUUUGCUCUCUUACUCAAAAAGUGUGCCCGUGCAGAUAGGACUGCUGAGGCAUCCUCAGUCUGUCAUGUUCUCACCAGCUAAUCAAAGUCUCACAAGGACGGCUCACUGGCAAAUGAGCUCGCAUGCUUUGGUCAGAUCCCAACAACCCCUCCUGUGCGUAAUUUGUUUCAUAUGCAUCGAUCCUUGUUCUUGCUUUAUGAUCUUCAAGUUGCUAGGGCUUGAUGAGAAAUUGAUUAUUUACUGCAUGCAUCCGAGUCUAAAAAUUUAUUGCUGAAUGAGGCCCAUACUCUUAUGUUUUUAGGUGCGAACAUGACAUGGGUAUGAGGCCUCUUUGGUUCAAAGGAUUUCUACAGGAAAUUU